UGCCAGCCGCCGCGGUAAUACGGAGGGGGCAAGCGUUGUUCGGAAUUACUGGGCGUAAAGGGCGUGUAGGCGGCGGUUUUAGUCAGGCGUGAAAGCCCGAGGCUCGACCCCGGAAGUGCACUUGAAACAGCAAGACUUGAAUACGGUAGAGGAGAGAGGAAUUCCUGGUGUAGAGGUGAAAUUCGUAGAUAUCAGGAGGAACACCGAUGGCGAAGGCAUCUCUCUGGGUCGAUAUUGACGCUGAGGCGCGAAGGCGUGGGUAGCGAACGGGAUUAGAUA
rnacentral:rRNA from 1 species